UCCGUUGGUGAACCAGCGGAGGGAUCAUUG
rnacentral:rRNA from 11 species